rnacentral:rRNA from 1 species
GGUGUCUUCGGACGCCGGCAUACGGCUCAGUAACACGUAGGUAACCUACCCUCAGGACUGAGAUAACCCCGGGAAACUGGGGCUAAUAUUAGAUAGAUAAAAGAUACUGGAAUGUUCUUUUAUCCAAAGCUUUUGCGCCUGAGGAUGGGCCUGCGUCCGAUUAGGUUGUUGGUGGGGUAAUGGCCCACCAAGCCUGCGAUCGGUACGGGCAGUGGGAGCUGAAGCCCGGAGUUGGGGACUGAGACAAGGCCCCAGGCCCUACGGGGCGCAGCAGGCGCGAAACCUCUGCAAUGCGGGAAACCGUGACAGGGGGAUCCCAAGUGCUCAUGCAUUGCAUGGGCUGUUCUUUGGUCUAAGUAACCAGAGGAGUAAGGGCUGGGCAAGACCGGUGCCAGCCGCCGCGGUAAUACCGGCAGCUCAAGUGGUAGCCGCGAUUAUUGGGCCUAAAACGUUCGUAGCCGGAUAAGUAAGUUUUUGGUUAAAUCCUGCGACUCAACCGUGGGAAUUCUAGAGAUACUGCUUGUCUUGAGACCGGGAGAGGUUGGAGGUACUCCUAGGGUAGGGGUGAAAUCCUGUAAUCCUAGGGGGACCACCUGUGGCGAA